rnacentral:snoRNA from 1 species
AAUCCGUGGUACGGGCAACAUCGAAGCAAGUCCUUGUACCUCUCCCAAGCAUCAUAUAUACUCUCGUCUUUGAACUGCACAAAAGAAGAUAUGUCAUUUCUCAAUUU